UGACCAACCUGCCCCUAACUCUGGGAUAACCCCGGGAAACCGGAGCUAAUACCGGAUACGAGACCGAGUGGCAUCACACGGUCUGGAAAGUUUUUCGGCUAAGGAUGGGCUCGCGGCCUAUCAGCUUGUUGGUGGGGUAAUGGCCUACCAAGGCGACGACGGGUAGCCGGCCUGAGAGGGUGACCGGCCACACUGGGUCUGAGACACGGCCCAGACUCCUACGGGAGGCA
rnacentral:rRNA from 1 species